UACGUAGGGGGCUAGCGUUAUCUGGAAUUACUGGGCGUAAAGGGUGCGUAGGUGGUUUCUUAAGUCAGAGGUGAAAGGCUACGGCUCAACCGUAGUAAGCCUUUGAAACUGGGAAACUUGAGUGCAGGAGAGGAGAGUGGAAUUCCUAGUGUAGCGGUGAAAUGCGUAGAUAUUAGGAGGAACACCAGUUGCGAAGGCGGCUCUCUGGACUGUAACUGACACUGAGGCACGAAAGUGUGGGGAGCAAACAGGAUUAGAUACCCUGGUAGUCCCUGA
rnacentral:rRNA from 1 species